GCCGAAAGUUUUGUGAUUGUAGUUGCGCUCCUCGUGUUUUUUUUAGAAAAUGGAAGGAAAUUUAAAUCAAAUUGAUAUUGUUGAGCCAGAUAAAGCACGUAAAAGAAACAGAUUGAAGAGUAUAGCGAAGAAAGCAAGCAAAACGAAGUUAAAGUAAAUAAAAUUCUUUUGUUUAUAAGUAAUUAGUAAUACCGAAGAAUACAUGAUGGAUGAGGUGUUAGAUUUUGUGUAAUUUGUGUAUGACUUAUUUUGUAAUAAUUAUGUAUCUAUGGAAUACAUAUUUUUUCUAUUUGA